rnacentral:rRNA from 1 species
UACGUAGGGGGCAAGCGUUGUCCGGAAUCAUUGGGCGUAAAGCGCGUGUAGGCGGUUCAGUAAGUCUGCUGUGAAAGUCAGGGCUCAACCCUGGGAUGCCGGUGGAUACUGCUGGGCUAGAGUACGGAAGAGGCGAGUGGAAUUCCCGGUGUAGCGGUGAAAUGCGCAGAUAUCGGGAGGAACACCAAUUGCGAAGGCAGCUCGCUGGGACGUUACUGACGCUGAGACGCGAAAGCGUGGGGAGCAAACAGG